rnacentral:rRNA from 1 species
GAUGAACGCUGGCGGCGUGCCUAAUACAUGCAAGUCGAACGCUAAAGGAGGAGCUUGCUCUUCUGGAUGAGUGGCGAACGGGUGAGUAACGCGUAGGUAACCUGCCUUGUAGCGGGGGAUAACUAUUGGAAACGAUAGCUAAUACCGCAUGACAACAGUUGUUGCAUGAUGACUGUUGGAAAGGGGCAGCUGCUGCACUACGAGAUGGGCCUGCGUUGUAUUAGCUAGUUGGUGAGGUAACGGCUCACCAAGGCGAGGAUACAUAGCCGACCGGAGAGGGGGAUCAGCCACCCUGGGACUGAGACACGGCACAGAGUGCUACGGGAAGGAGCAGUAGUGCAUCGUCGGCAAUGGAUGGAAGACUGAGCGAGCAACGCCGAGGGAGGGAAGAACGUUGUCGGGUCGUAGAGGACGGUUGUCGGGGAAGAACGAGUGUGCGAGUGGAAAGAUCACAGUGUGACGGUAACUGACAAGAAAGCAACGGCUAACUACGUG